rnacentral:misc_RNA from 1 species
GUGAAUGAAGUACAUCGUCCUUCACAUUCAUAUGCAUGAAUUAAACUUGUAAGUUUCAUAUAAUUGUGAGAGGAGGUGCAUCACUUUCAGUUUACUGGCUGCACUGGAUAUUUUCUUGUAGUAAUGUGGGUAAUUUUAAUAUGCAAACUAUUCCUUUUUACUCUUAUUGAUGCCGUCAAAACUUGUUUGUCUGUCAGAAGUUGUGAUAAGC